AACGAACGCUGGCGGCAUGCCUAACACAUGCAAGUCGAACGAGACCUUCGGGUCUAGUGGCGCACGGGUGCGUAACGCGUGGGAACCUGCCCUUAGGUUCGGAAUAACUCCCCGAAAGGGGUGCUAAUACCGGAUAAUGUCUUCGGACCAAAGAUUUAUCGCCUUUGGAUGGGCCCGCGUUGGAUUAGCUAGUUGGUAGGGUAAAAGCCUACCAAGGCGACGAUCUAUAGCUGGUCUGAGAGGAUGAUCAGCCACACUGGGACUGAGACACGGCCCAGACUCAUACGAGAGGCAGCAGUGGGGAAUAUUGCACAAUGGGCGAAAGCCUGAGCCAGCAAUGCCGCGUGAGUGAUGAAGGCCUUAGGGGUGUAAAGCUCUUUUACCCGGGAUGAUAAUGACAGUACCGGGAGAAUAAGCUCCGGCUAACUCCGUG
rnacentral:rRNA from 1 species